GAUGAACGCUGGCGGCGUGCCUAAUACAUGCAAGUCGAGCGAACUGAUUAGAAGCUUGCUUCUAUGACGUUAGCGGCGGACGGGUGAGUAACACGUGGGCAACCUGCCUGUAAGACUGGGAUAACUUCGGGAAACCGAAGCUAAUACCGGAUAGGAUCUUCUCCUUCAUGGGAGAUGAUUGAAAGAUGGUUUCGGCUAUCACUUACAGAUGGGCCCGCGGUGCAUUAGCUAGUUGGUGAGGAAACGGCUCACCAAGGCAACGAUGCAUAGCCGACCUGAGAGGGUGAUCGGCCACACUGGGACUGAGACACGGCCCAGACUCCUACGGGAGGCAGCAGUAGGGAAUCUUCCGCAAUGGACGAAAGUCUGACGGAGCAACGCCGCGUGAGUGAUGAAGGCUUUCGGGUCGUAAAACUCUGUUGUUAGGGAAGAACAAGUACGAGAGUAACUGCUCGUACCUUGACGGUACCUAACCAGAAAGCCACGGCUAACUACGUGCCAGCAGCCGCCGUAAUAC
rnacentral:rRNA from 1 species